AGUGAACGCUGGCGGUAGGCCUAACACAUGCAAGUCGAACGGCAACACAGUAAGAGCUUGCUCUUACGGGUGGCGAGUGGCGGACGGGUGAGGAAUACAUCGGAAUCUACUUUUUCGUGGGGGAUAACGUAGGGAAACUUACGCUAAUACCGCAUACGACCUACGGGUGAAAGCAGGGGAUCUUCGGACCUUGCGCGAUUGAAUGAGCCGAUGUCGGAUUAGCUAGUUGGCGGGGUAAAGGCCCACCAAGGCGACGAUCCGUAGCUGGUCUGAGAGGAUGAUCAGCCACACUGGAACUGAGACACGGUCCAGACCCCUACGGGAGGCAGCAGUGGGGAAUAUUGGACAAUGGGCGCAAGCCUGAUCCAGCCAUACCGCGUGGGUGAAGAAGGCCUUCGGGUUGUAAAGCCCUUUUGUUGGGAAAGAAAAGCAGCAGGUUAAUACCCCGCUGUUCUGACGGUACCCAAAGAAUAAGCACCGGCUAACUUCGUG
rnacentral:rRNA from 1 species